rnacentral:rRNA from 1 species
GACGAACCGUCCUAACGUUGUUCGGAAUUACUGGGCGUAAAGCGCACGUAGGCGGAUAUUUAAGUCAGGGGUGAAAUCCCGGGGCUCAACCCCGGAACUGCCUUUGAUACUGGGUAUCUAGAGUAUGGUAGAGGUAAGUGGAAUUCCGAGUGUAGAGGUGAAAUUCGUAGAUAUUCGGAGGAACACCAGUGGCGAAGGCGGCUUACUGGACCAUUACUGACGCUGAGGUGCGAAAGCGUGGGGAGCAAACAGG